rnacentral:lncRNA from 1 species
CAAGAUCUUUGUCUGGGAAUUACAAACCAGUCCACCAGCUAUGAUUGCAAGGUUGAUCUCCAUUCAUGCACCACUACCUAGUUUCUGAUCCUUCUCAUUUAUGGUUUGGAUUUCAAGUGUUUGUGCUUCAUUUUUACAGGUUAUCUCAUGUCCAAUCUAAGUCUCCAAUUAGACAGACUGCCAUGUCUUUUGAUGGGAGGUUAAUAUCCAAGAACACUUUAAUUGCUUCUUCUGUAUGUUCUUUCGCAAUCUGUGCAUUAAUUAAUCAAUGUCUUUUUUCUUCAGCACCAUACUUAGCUGCUGUGAAGAUGGGACUAUAUGGCGCUGGGAUGUGGUAGCAACUUCUUGAGCUUUUCAUUAGGGUUUUGAGCAGGACAUCUGUCUUAAUGUUUCAAUUCACAGCAGCUGCCAAAGACAUUUGACAGUGAUGAGAGACUUUUAUUGAAUAUGGUACUUGAAGGAUCGUUUGAGCAGGACACCUGUCUUAAUGUUUCAAUUAGCAGCAGCUGCCAAAGACAUUUGACAGUGAUGGGAGACUUUUAUUGAAUAUGGUACUUGAAGGAUCCAGAACAUAUCUAACAUGCAAGCAAACCUGCCAAAUGCUACUUUAGUUUAUCUCUAACCUCUUUCUUGUGAAACUAAUUUAAUGUACUAGUGAAUUAACUUGUACUUUUACUGCUGAAGAUGCAUGUAGUUGUUAAUUUUUGUAGUGGCAAAACUUCAGUGUUGCCUUGAAUGGAAAGUUCUGGGUUUUGUUUGCUAAUUAGGUGAUACUAGUCUUACCUUGUCUGAAUUGGCACUCUCUUCUGAUAGACUUUUUCCAGUUUUUCACUCUGACGUGUUGCUAAAAGAAAUUUUAGAAGUCGCAUCUAAGUUGGC